rnacentral:lncRNA from 1 species
CGCGGCUCCUAUCGGGUACGUCGACACGUCGGGCGGCCUUGCUGGAUUAGUUUUACCUUUGACGAGAUAUCUUGUGCAUCGGGAUUCCGGUGAUGCUUUGGGUAAUAUCAGAGUUGAGGUUUUCCACUAGGGAAUCUGACGAGAUCGCGAGCUUCGUGAUUGAGGAUUUCUAUGCGGCUUGUGGUAAUUUGUGAUGGACUAGUUGGAGCACCCCUGCAGGGUUAAAUCUUUCGGAAAGCCGUG